GCAAGACGUGAUGCGCGGUCGGGGGAUGCCUCGGCACGACCAGCCGAUGAAGGACGCGGGCAAGCAGCGAUAGGGACGGGGAGGCGCAACCAGCCGGUGAUCCGUCCGUCUCCGAAUGGGGCAACCCGUCCAGCACUGCUGGACACCCGCCGGUACGCGCCGGCGGGAGGGCACCCGGCGAACUGAAACAUCUUAGUAGCCGGAGGACGCGGAAGACCGCCCGGAGUAGUGGCGAGCGAAACGGGCCGCUGCCUAAACCGAUGCCGUGCCAAGGGGGCAGCCGUUGCGGGAUCGGGGUUGUGAGACCAGCCGACGGGCCUGCCUGCCCGUCACCCUGCGCGCGUCCGCCGCCGGAAGCGCCUGGAACGGCGCACCACAGACGGUGACAGUCCGGUACGGGGGCGGCGCGCGCGGGGGGCUGCCAUCUCGAGUACCACGGGCCACGAGCAAGCCCGUGGGAAGCUGGGGGGACCACCCUCCAAGGCAACCUACUGGUCGUGACCGAUAGCGCAGAGUACCGUGAGGGAACGGUGAAAAGCACCCCGGCGAGGGGAGUGAAACAGAGCCUGAAACCGACCGCGUCCAUGCAGUCAGAGCGCUAGGCUCCCCAGGAGCAGGCGUGAUGGCGUGCCUUUUGGAGUAUGACCCGACGAGUUACUACGGGUCGCCUGCCUAAGCCAGGACCAGGCGGAGGCUGAGCGAACGCGAGUGUGCCAAGCGCGCACGUGGCUCGUAGUAGACCCGAAACCGUGUGAGCUACCCAUGGCCAGGCUGCAGCGGCCGUAACAGGCCGUGAAGGGCCGCACCGGUGUCUGUUGCAAAAGGCUCGGAGGAGCUGUGGGUAGGGGUGAAAUGCCAAACGAACACGGAGAUAGCUGGUUCUCCCCGAAAUGCAUUGCGGUGCAGCCGGCCACUGGUGGAUGGCGGGGGUAGAGCACUGUUGCGACGCGGGGGCUUCACCGCCUACCAACUCGCGGCAAACUGCGAAUACCGCCACCCGCGUGGACCGCGUGAGACGGCGCGUGCGAAUAUGCGUCGUCAAAAGGGCAACAACCCAGACCCGCCGCUAAGGUCCCCAAAUUGCGUCUGAGUAGGCAAGGAAGUGGCGCUGCCCAGACAACCAGGAGGUUGGCUUAGAAGCAGCCAUCCUUGAAAGAGUGCGUAAUAGCUCACUGGUCGAGGAGCGCCGCGCCGACAAUGUCACGGGGUUAAGGCGCGUACCGAAGCGCGGGAUCACCAGCGCUGCUGGUGGUGGUAGGGGAGCGUCGUCAGCGGGGUGAAGUCGGAGCGCAAGCCCCGGCGGACGGCUGACGAGUGCGAAUGUCGGGAUGAGUAACGCAAAGUGGGGUGCGAACCCCCACCGCCGAAUGCCCAAGGGUUCCGCUGCACGGACACUCCGCAGCGGGUUAGUCGGGCCUAAGCCGAGGCCGAAAGGCGUAGGUGAUGGACAGCUGGUGGACAUUCCAGCACCAGCGGGGGGCGGUGAACCCGGGGGUCCUGGGCGGGAUGGCGCGCGACCAGACGAGGGUCGUUCAAGCUGGUAGGCCGCACGGCUGAGAAGCGAGUACGAGCUGCGUCCUGCGGGACGGCGGCAAGGCGCCAGGACCUGGACAGGCACGAAACACCCCGAGGGGAGCUUCCCGCUGCCCGUACCGGACACCGACACUGGUGGGCAGGUUGAGGAAACCCAGGCGGACGAGCGAACCCUGGUCAAGGAACUCGGCAAAAUGAUCCCGUACCUUCGGAAGAAGGGAUGCUCCUGGCGGUGAAGCGCUGCGCGCGUGGAGCCGCGUGGGAGCCGCAGAGCCCAGGCCCAUGCGACUGGUUACCAGAACCUUAGGUCCCUGCGAAGGCGCAAGCCGACGUAUAGGGGCUGAUGCCUGCCCAGUGCCGGAAGGUUAAGGGGAGGGGUGCACGCCCUGAACCGAAGCCCCGGUCAACGGCGGCCGUAACUAUAACGGUCCUAAGGUAGCGAAAUUCCUUGUCGGGUAAGUUCCGACCCGCACGAAAGGCAUAACGACAUGGGCACUGUCUCGACCAGGGGCUCGGUGAAAUUGAAGUGGCGGUGAAGAUGCCGCCAACCCACACCCGGACAAAAAGACCCCGUGGAGCUUUACUCUAGCUUGCCACUGGGUAGGCGAUGGGGCUGCGUAGGAUAGGUGGGAGCCGGAGAAGCCGCCCUUGCGGGGGUGGUGGAGGCGCCGGUGAAAUACCACUCUGCCGCAUGGCCUGCCCUCACCGCCCGUGACAGCGGGGGGGACCGUGGCUGGUGGGGAGUUUGACUGGGGCGGUCGCCUCCCAAAAGGUAACGGAGGCGCCCAAGGGUUCCCUCAGGGUGGAUGGCAAUCACCCGUGGCGUGCAAGGGCACAAGGGAGCUUGACUGCAAGGCGGACAGGCCGCGCAGGGACGAAAGUCGGGCCUAGUGAUCCUACGGUACCGCGUGGAAGGGCCGUAGCGUACCGGAUAAAAGCUACCCCGGGGAUAACAGGCUGAUCCUGCCCAAGAGUUCAGAUCGACGGCAGGGUUUGGCACCUCGAUGUCGGCUCGUCGCAUCCUGGGGCUGGAGCCGGUCCCAAGGGUUGGGCUGUUCGCCCAUGAAAGCGGCACGCGAGCUGGGUUCAGAACGUCGUGAGACAGUUCGGUCUCUAUCCGGUGUGGGCGCCUAGGUGCUUGCGUGGGGCUGGCCCUAGUACGAGAGGACCGGGCUGGACGACCCGCUGGUGGAGCAGUUGUGGGGCGACCCGCAGGCUGCGUAGCUACGGUCGGAAGGGAGAAGCGCUGAAUGCAUCUAAGUGCGAACCCCGCCACUAGACGAGGCACCUCGCCGGCAAGGACGGGUAAGGGCGCGGCGAGACGAGCCGUGGACCGACCGGCGGUGGACGCCCGGCGACGGGUGCAGCCGACCGGCACGGACGCCCGAGUGGCUUGCCUG
rnacentral:rRNA from 1 species